UACGGAGGGGGCUAGCGUUGUUCGGAAUUACUGGGCGUAAAGGGCGCGUAGGCGGCCACCGCAAGUCGACUGUGAAAUCUCCGGGCUUAACCCGGAAAGGUCAGCCGAUACUGCGGGGCUAGAGUGCAGAAGGGGCAACUGGAAUUCUCGGUGUAGCGGUGAAAUGCGUAGAUAUCGAGAGGAACACCUGCGGCGAAGGCGGGUUGCUGGGCUGACACUGACGCUGAGGCGCGAAAGCUAGGGGAGCGAACGGG
rnacentral:rRNA from 1 species